rnacentral:rRNA from 1 species
UACGUAGGGGGCAAGCGCUGUCCGGAAUUAUUGGGCGUAAAGCGCGCGCAGGCGGUUCUUUAAGUCUGGUGUUUAAACCCGAGGCUCAACUUCGGGUCGCACUGGAAACUGGGGGACUUGAGUGCAGAAGAGGAGAGUGGAAUUCCACGUGUAGCGGUGAAAUGCGUAGAUAUGUGGAGGAACACCAGUGGCGAAGGCGACUCUCUGGGCUGUAACUGACGCUGAGGCGCGAAAGCGUGGGGAGCAAACAGGAUUAGAUACCCGAGUAGU